AUGCUUGGGAAGCACUACACCAACAACUGGAAAGAAACACAGAAGAGAUUCUCAUGCUCAGUGCACAAGGAUGGCAUGCAUAAAUGUAUGAAGCAUUUCAUUUUUGU
rnacentral:snRNA from 1 species